rnacentral:lncRNA from 1 species
GUAUGUGCUUAACGAGUGACACUGCUCCAGUCGCCAUAUAUGACUUUUAUUAGUGAACUUGUUGACGAUGACGAUGCAAGCGCGUUACAGUAAGGCUGGUAAAACAAAAUAUGAAAGCUCGCUUAGCCAAGCGUUGUGGUUAGAUGAGAUUCGCGCACAACAACAGUGUAUAUACGUCUCCAUGAGUGUAUUCUUGCGAGGAACUGCUCUGGACAAAAAGGGGGUGGGUACGUUCCGUCGAUGACAUCAUUUAUCAGAUACAUCGUCCUGUCCAGCUGUCAUCGAAACUCACCGACAUACACGCUACCACCACUUCUAUAGCUUCUUGAACCAUGAUAUCUGAUUGAAAACGUGGCAAUGCUGGCAGUAGGUAUAGUCUGCCCAUCAGUGAUCGCGCAGACGCACUCGCCUUCAACGAAUUUCGCUAAAGCCACUGGCAAAAUCGUCUUUAAGAAUUUUCAGCCGCCUCUCUUCCUAUGGGCUUACCGCACAGUCUCUUACUGAUCUCUCCCACUACCCAAAGUCGCUCUGCAGACCUGCGGCUGUGCUUGCAAUAUAAAUAUUUGAUGUGUCUUUGUGACCACGUAAGGAAUGCCAAAAAAGUGGAUAAGGAGCUUUAGCUCGAACCUGCUGUGGUAAUAAAGCAAGAACAGUUUUUGCCCAGUAAAUGUGAUCGUCUGCACAUGUAGAAGUUAGCAGUGGUCAGGAAGAUACCUUUUCUUUAGUAUGCAAACUUUGUACCAUUGAUAGAUUAGCUGCCGAAACAAAUGAUUCAUUUGUAACACGCUCAAGAAGGACUAUAUACUUUAUUCCCUUAAUUUAUCGAAUCGGUAUGUGCCAGACGGCCACUGCUGCUACAACAAUACGCUAAUUUGAGCAUCACGACCGAGUCUCUACCUUGUAAUUGUGAUGUUCCUUGCAAAAUAUUCAACCAGUAAACAACGUGACUAGAAAAUUUUCUUACACAUCCGCCCGCUCUACCGCAGUUUAAGCAACGGCACUAACAAGAACGCGCGCUUGUUGUUCAUUACCUGUACUGAUUUAGUAUCGCACUUGAUGACUGUGACGCUGAGGCUCCUCGCGAAUGUGUUCAUAUUCGUAAUUCAGUUGUUAAAGCAUUCCAAGACGCGGCUUUUAAGUUUACGUUUUACUCUCUCUUCGAUGCAAGGAUACUUUCUGCUGUAGAAGUGUAAGGCGUUUGCUGCAAGCAACCUUUUAUGUAGCAAUUUAUGUAUCAAAUAUUCGUUACAUUAAUAAUUGCCGAAAAUAUUUCUCUCGAUUUCGGUGUGUGCGAUAACUUCUUGUCUGCCUAAGAUAUCGAAGCAUGCGAAAAGAUGUAACCUCAAAGCGAAUGAGCUUACACAAGCACUGCGACUUCCAUCGAACCAUUAAACGCAGCUCGAUACCAGAUACGUUGCCAAGCUUAGCGAAGCCGUGACUGAGGUGAGUGUGUGCAAACUGCCGUCAGACUGAAUGCUCCCUGCAGGCUUGUAUGAACUUUUCACAAGGCCUCCAUUUGAUAUGGUGUAGUCAUAGCUCAGAUGACUUAUUUGUUGUCAAACCGGCUCCGAAGCGACAUAGAGUCAUCAGGUUCCGACAUACAGUUUAUCAGGUUCUUGAUAAAGCUCCCGAUAAAGUGCUGUGUUCUCUCGUGGAAGGUAGCUAGCCGAUGGAAACUUUGGUCUUAAUUGACGAUACAGAAGCCGCUCUGUGGCAAAAAAAAAAAAAAAAAAAACAAAGAGAUGCGUAAUUAUUAUUUGGGGGAGAAAAAAAAAUCUCAACACUAUAUUAUCAGAGCCCCUGAAAUUUGUUUCUCUGGUAGUUGCUUAGAUUACGCCUCCUGCUCGCAUUUCCAGUUUUCUCUCUCUGCUAUCUCCAUAAUUUCAAUGGAGGUUCAUACCUCACUCCUGAUUACAAUGGCUUUAUAUCGCAGGAAGAUGAAUAUCAGAUUCGAAGGAUGAAAUGGUAUCUCAAACUUCAUACGUCAAUAAAAAUGUUGCAGCAUAGCUCGUUAUCUCUGGAGUUCGAGGUAUACAAGUUUCACGAGGUGAAGAAGCCUGUGCAAAGAGCCACCUGCAAGAAGUGUCACAGCCUCUGAUUAACGAGAGUGCAGUCGCAAGCCAAGAGACAUUGGAUCACAUAUUUUCCCACAGUCAAUGCGCGCAAAACAGGUUACAUGGGCGCGCUUACCACCAACAAAACCAGCGGCAUGCUCAACACAUCAGCUAACAAUGCCCAUAUUUUGUACAUGUGUACAAGCUAUACACCCCAAAUCUGUACAGUGCGUACGCAUACACAUUAUACCUGUACAGUGCAGUAUAGUAGUAGCGGUGGUAGUAAUGGUUGUAAGUCAAGUCACAGCGCAGUCAUCCAAAAAAAAAACAAACAAACAAAAAACAGCGUAACCCGAGCGAACCAUGCACACCGCUUCCUUCUAGCGAAACGUGCGUGGCAGAACCACGCGUGUGCCAUUUGCUUUCCUUCCAUAUCACUCCACGCCAUGCGGCGGUCAGCUCUCGACAAGACAGGCAGCCGCGACACGUCUUUGCUGAGAAUCCAGCGCGCCGCCGCCGCCGCGGGAUGACAGCCGAGACAAGCCAUUUCCUUUUGUACAUCGUCGAAGAAAUAUCACCGCGCGGACCCCCAGGGUCGCAGACGGCUGUUAGGCACCUUAGCGCCGCCGAGCGAACCACGUGCGAACGAACUGCUUCAAUGUCACCCGGGGGAAGAGUUGCGUCGGCGCACCAUGGGCCGGAAUUCGGGGAAAUGGAUAGGGAAGCACGCUCUCUCGUUCCCGCGGUCGCUGAUGCCGCCAACAGAAUGAUUUAUGAGGAGGAGGGACGGUCUGCAUCGACAAGUAAGGGGGCGACCGACUAGAGCAGGCCGUAUAGUACAAGGAGCUUUAAUGCCGUGCGCGCUCUCUCCAUCUCUACUAUAUACCUUCUUUGUUGUUGUUCUACACCUACGAAUAAUGCGCGCCGGGCAACUUUUCUCAUUAGCCGAGCGACGACGGGUGCUUGGAAUUGGAUGUAAAGGAGAGCGUACGCUGCUUGUCUGCGUUUUUCUGGUUUUUUUCCCCCCUUCCAUGCCUGCACGUUGACGCGAUGCCAUAUGUGUUUCGUAUCAAAUAUAGAGAGCGGUGGUCACCGGACAUCAACGCGGCACGUGGUUUAGAAAUGUAUGUACACGCGAGGAAUCCUGCGGCCCCCUGCGACACGAGGUAAGAAAGAACAAGAACGGAGGGAACGGGGCAAUGGUCCGCGUCGUGACUUACAUAUAUAUGCCUGCAGCCUGACAGCAUGAACGCGCGUGUCGCGUAAUGAUCUGCUUUCGCUAUAUGUUAGGCUCCUCUUUUUUUGUUCAGUUAGUCUUCGCGUAUGCAUCUAUAGCACCCCGUUGCCGCAGCAUGCGUGCAGGCACUUGCAAAAUCAGCUUUGCGCUAUGCCUCCCGCCGUCGCUUAAAUAAUUGCGGCGACGGUUGAGGGGAAGGGAGGGGGGAGGGGGGGGGGCGGUGCGAGUGUACGCCAAAAUAGAGAACUUUUCGGGAAGCAACGCUGCAACAGGAAAUUGCGUGUGUGAACGACGUCUGCGUCGGGAAAGCGCUGAAUAAAACGGAGUAGCGGAAAGAAAUUAAGCGCGUGGCUCGCUGCCCACUCGUGCGCAUGCUCGGCGAUCCCCUUUCGUUUGUGUGCUCUGGAGAUAGAAAGAGAGAUGGGACCGCCUGGCUGAUGUAGCAGUGGCUCUCUAAAUGCAGGUGUGAAUGUAGCGUCAGCGUUGCACCCCUCAACUCAGAACAAAGAGGCAGCAUCGCGUACAAAAUGCGGGGGCUCUAACUCGACACGAUUGUUCCCGUAGGCUCUACACUAUUUCAUAGUCGGGAUGCUACAACGAGACACAGUUGAUUUCAAAACACAAAGGUUCUGUUCGUAGCGCGGGUUGCCUUGCCGCGAAUCCGUCGAGACUCUUGGCAAACGAGCGAGAAGAAAAACCUGCUACUUAUUUUCUAGACAAUGCUUAAUGAAAGAAGCCCUGGAAGGGGGCUUCUUGCCGUGCGCAUGUUUCAGGUGCGUGCUUCUGCGGUCGCCGGAUGCCUCUCGGACACAAAUAUAAAGUUACAGCGAAGAGUACUGAGAGGGCAGCUGCAAUAAUCACAUCACAUCACGAAGUACGUUACGCAUGGUCCGGGGACGUUUAAAUAAACACCCAAGCCUAGCCAGAACUGCGCCGAUACCCACUCAUUGUGUUUCGCGCCUCAUUGCAAUCAUGAUACCAUUCCGUAGCCACUUUGCCUUCGCUCUCAUCACCGCUGUGGCCACAAGCAAGCACUUGUCGCAGCAGUUACAUGUAUAUUUAUGUAUUUUGGCACAACGCGUCGAUGACAACAUAAUCACUCGUCGGCUACGCCCGUCACCGAAAGCCUUCGUCAAGCGUAACCGUCGUAUCGCUCUCUUUCUUCAUCUGCGCUAGUCCAAGACUGCGUGGUCCCCAUAAGCUCGUGUUAGUCUGAUAAAGAUCACAAAUCAUGGCACCAGUACAACAACGCGAGGAAGAUAAACAGCUAUUCACAACGAACGUAGUGGAACAAGAUUGCCCAUAGGCAUCGUCUCUGCGUGCUCACGUCAACAAGAACUGGAGGAAUCCGCAGGAACGACAGUGUGUGGUAGUUUGUAGCUCCCUUCGGGAUUCGUGCUGUAGUCGCAGUUUGUCACUGGCUCUGUAGAGAGUUCACGAAAAUCUCGCUGCUUUGGUGCAAGAUGAGCACCAUCGAAGGACAGAAAACAAAGGCAUGCACCGCUUCAGCGUCUAACAAGGCGGGAACACGCCAGCAUGCUGACAUUGGCAGGAGAUUCUCGACUCACACGAGAAGUGAACACAUCGUGUCACCAGCGGCGCGACAAGCACAAAAGAUAC